UACGUAGGGUGCGAGCGUUAUUCGGAGUUACUGGGCGUAAAGCGUGCGCAGGCGGUUCGUUGUGUCCGUCGUGAAAGCCCCGGGCUUAACCUGGGAACUGCGAUGGAAACUAGCGAGCUGGAGUGUGGCAGAGGGGGGUGGAAUUCCACGUGUAGCAGUGAAAUGCGUAGAGAUGUGGAGGAACACCGAUGGCGAAGGCAGCCCCCUGGGCUAACACUGACGCUCAUGCACGAAAGCGUGGGGAGCAAACAGG
rnacentral:rRNA from 1 species